UGGGCCCCGAAAGGUCGGUAUACAGGUGGUGCAUGGCUGUCGUCAGCUCGUGUCGUGAGAUGUUGGGUUAAGUCCCGCAACGAGCGCAACCCUCGUUCUAUGUUGCCAGCACGUGAUGGUGGGGACUCAUAGGAGACUGCCGGGGUCAACUCGGAGGAAGGUGGGGAUGACGUCAAGUCAUCAUGCCCCUUAAGUCCAGGGCUUCACGCAUGCUACAAUGGCCGGUACAAAGGGCUGCGAUACCGCAAGGUGGAGCGAAUCCCAAAAAGCCGGUCUCAGUUCGGAUUGGGGUCUGCAACUCGACCCCAUGAAGUCGGAGUCGCUAGUAAUCGCAGAUCAGCAACGCUGCGGUGAAUACGUUCCCGGGCCUUGUACACACCG
rnacentral:rRNA from 1 species